CAACUAACAAGGAUUCCCCUAGUAACAGCGAGCGAACAGGGAAUAGCCCAAAACUGAAUCCCCCAGCUUUGUUGGUGGGAAAUGUAGUUUUAGGGUGAUGUUGCGCCUUUGUGUAUUUAUUUGAAGUUCGCACGAUUGCGGCCAAUACUCAUAGAGGGUGUAAAGCCUGUGCAAAUGAAAUACACUUGGGUUUGACAUCACUCGAGAGUCGAAUUGUUUGGUAUUGCAAUUCAAAGUGGGUGGUAAACUCCAUCCAAGGCUAAAUAUAACGCUAGACCGAUAGUCAACAAGUACCGUGAGGGAAAGUUGAAAAGAACUUUGAAGAGAGAGUUAAUAGUACGUGAAAUCACCCAGAGGUAAACGGGUAAAGCUGAAAUUGGCGGUGAGGUUGAUGCUUUCCGGUGUGAGGUGCUGGCAGGAGGCUGAUUUGUUUUAGAACACCUUCGGUCGGUUUUUGCUUCUGCCGGUUGGCUGUCUCCUUGCUGUCUUGACCAUGAUCGGCGAUUGGGUCGUUUCUGGUGGGAAAAGGUAGCGAUUGAACGUUUUAGUUCGAUUGUGUUAUAGCUCCUGCUUUGAGACAGACUGUGUUUCGUCGGGCAAUUGCGGUGCAAGCCGUGUUUUAAUGGCGCACACAUUCUGCUGCGGUUGGUUGGCGCUUGGUUCACUUGUUUCAGAGUUUGCCGGGUGCAUGUGGCUGGCCGAUGGUGGGGUCUAUGUGUAUUGCAUCUAUAAUCCAUGGUUGUUUGUAGGCCAUUUACCUGUCCCGUCUUGAAACACGGACCAAGGAGUCUAACAUGUUUGCGAGUCAAUGGGCAGUACGAAACCCAGAGGCGGAGUGAAAGUAAAGGUCCACAUUUGGUGGGCUUAGGCAGGAUCGUUGCACUCACGAGUGUGAUGCGCACUGCCGACUCAUUAGAUAUUUCUAG
rnacentral:rRNA from 1 species